rnacentral:lncRNA from 1 species
AACCUCUUUAUUCUAUCUCAUAACUUUGCAGUCAGCCGUUUAGGCAGGGCUCAGCUGGCUGGGCGUUCUGCUUUCCUGGCAUUGAUGGGGGUCCCUCAGUGGGACUCAGCUGGUUGAUGGCCUGCUCUGGAUGGACCAAGGUGGCUUCACUGAUGGGGAUGAUAGGAGGGCUGUCAGCUCUCUGUCUCCACAUUGCCUUGGGUCUCUCCAUGUGGUCUCUUCAGCAGCAUAAAUGGACUUCUUCCAUGGUGGCUCAGGACACCAAGAGAACAUGUUCUAGGAGGCAGGAAGAAGCAGCUCGCAGAUUCUUAAGUCUCACGCCUAGAAACGGACACAGCAUCACUUCUACCUAUGCUGCUGGUCAAAGCAGGCACAGAGCCCACUGGAUUGAAGAAAGAGGCAUAGACCCCCACCUUUAAAGGGCUGAGUGUCAGAGAACUUGUGGCCAACAUUAAUCCACCACAACUGGUCAUACCUGGGCUUGAAUUCUUGAAGGAUGGGGGAGCUCUAUUGCACACAGAGCUGCUUUUUCCAUUGCAGAGAGACUUGGAUGGUGAAAACAUUGAUCUUUUCUGUGGAGUGGUUUCCUCUCUCCCUAUUAGUCCACAAAUUUGUCUGGGUCUGAACAGCUAUUUGGAGUCUGGCCUCCCCCGAGAACUCUGUUGGAAAACUACAAUCUCUUUCUUGGGUCGAAUGCAGGUCCCCUGUGCUCUUAGGUUGUACACUUUAGCUCCACUUUGUGGUCUACUGGGAUCAGCAGGUCCAUCCUGUGGGUUAGCCCUGUCCAAAGGUCCCCGGCCACCAAGGGCAGAGCCAGGACUCAAAGGUGGCUGUGAGUCUGUGUGAGUCCCACAACUGCAAUUAUAAGCAUUUGGCUGCAUUUCCUCUCACACUGGUUCUGUUAGCUGUCAAGUGAUAUGGUUUUCAGAAACAAAGUUCACCCACUCACUCAUAUUCAUUCACCCACCCACCCAUUCAUCAUCCAUCCAUCCAUCUACUCAACCAUCCAUCCACUCAUCUACCCAUUCAUCACCUCCCCACCUCCACAUGUAUCCUCCGUCCAUGUAUGGAGCCAAGCACCUACAGGCUCAGGGCACAAGGUCAAAGGAACCCACUGUCUUGGUGACCCCUCACGAUUCUCACCCAUCUCCCAUUUGGAGCCUCUGGUCUUUAGGAAUUUGCUGUCCCUCUCCUGAUCUCUCUGUGGCUGCCCUGUGCUGGGGGCAGAUGAUGGUUCAAGGUUGGAUCCUCACAUUUGCAUUUUCUACCCUUUUGGUCUCAGUGUUGCCGUGGAAACUUUUCUGGAAGUCUUAAAAAAACUGAAGAAAAAAACCAUACAGGAAAUUGUGUCUUGUGUUCUUUGUAGCGAAUCUUGUGCUAAUUUUGAACCCAGCUUUAUUUUUCUUUAUUUUUUAACACCAAAUCUUGAGUGUGAAGAUAGAAGCUUCCUCCAGUGAAGCAGCAGCCCCGGCACUGGGCCUGCAGUGGAGACCGGGAAUGAGAGAAGCCCCUGGCGUGGGCUGGCAAGGACGCAGAGCACGGAGAGCACCUGGGGCAGGGCCGGCGCCAACGGCAUAACACAUGCUGCUGCUCCUCUCCCGCGGGGCCCAUGGAGAUGGCUGGAAGCAGCCCAACGUCAGGGCAGAUCCCUACCUUCACACUCACAUAAGAGAAGAGUGAAGUUUCGGGGACUCCACACCUCAAGGUAGUUCCACCGUGCGAGGUGCUGCGCUCACAGUAUUACUCAUGCACCUUUCUGAUAAGAAAAGUGAAAAUGUGAAGUUGAAAACUGAAGACGCCCAGCAACUUCCUGAAUCCAGCCCUCCACGUCCUGCCCUACGGGACGGACGACUCCCAAAGAGGAAUCGUUGGUGGAAGUCCCAUGUUUCGUUGCCGUUGGAAGGGGGAACUGGUCAAGGCAGGGCUCAUCUCUGGACCCACACCCCAUAACCAACAUGGAAGCCUGGAUUUGGCCCUGGAUCAGGCUGGCUCCCCAGGGAAGGGUCCAGUCUCUCCGGGGAGACAUCCCGACUUCGGGUCCUGCUUUCUCUACUGUAAUUCGAGGCUGGCCAUGCCCCUCAGUGGGCCUCAGUUUCCUCACCUGUACAGUGGGGAAAUCCAUAGGACCUACCUCCUGGGAGGGCACUGAGGACCGAGGGAAUGAAUGCCUGUCCAGUGCUCAUGAUCGUGACAAGCACUGCGCAGAAUAAAUCCGGAAUAAACGCUCACCGGGUGAGGGAGGGCAGGGAAGAUUUCUAAAAUCCCCCUGAUUUGAGAUGAGAUCUGAUUCACCCACUUAAAAAACCACAUUGGGAAAUAAUUUGAAAUGUACAGGAAAGUUGUAAGAAUCGCACAAAGAAUACUCCCAAACGUUUUGCCCAUACUCACCUGUUUUCUGUGGCAACUUUGAGACAGAAUUCACACGCCAUACAGUUGACCCAUCUCAACUGUACAAUUCAAUGGCCUUUCAUAGUCAGAGUUGUGCAACUGUCACCAGGGUCAAUUUUAGAACGUUUUCAUCACUCUCCUCUCACAAAAAACCCCUCACGUCCCUUGGCUGUCACUCUGCACCUAUUAAUAUUUUUUUGUGUUAAGACUUUUUCUUUGAGAUGGAGUCUCAGUCUGUUGCCCAGGCUGGAGUGCAGUGGCGUACAUCUCGGCUCACAGUAACCUCCACCUCCUGGGUUCAAGCGAUUCUCCUGCCUCAGCCUCCUGAGUAGCUGGGAUUACGGGUGCCCGCCUCCACGCCCGGCUAGUUUUUGUAUUUUUAGUAGAGACAGGGUUUCACCAUGUUGGUCAGGCUGGUCUCGAACUCCUGACCUCGUGAUCCACCUGCCUUGGCCCCACAAAGUGCUAGGAUUACAGGUGUGAAACACUAUGCCCGGUAAAUGUUAAGACUUUUAUGCAUCUUCUUGACCUGUGGUCUUCAGCAUUUGAGUCUUAGGGGACCUUUAAAAUAUUAAGAUAGGCCAGGCACAGUGGCUCAUGCCUGAAAUCCCAGAACUUUAGGAGGCUGUGGUGAGACGAUUGCUUGAAGCCAGGAGUUUGGGACGAGCCUGGGCAUCAUAGUGAGACCCCCAUCUUGGCAAAAAAGUAAACAUAAAAAAUAUUAGCUGGGCAUAGUGGCGAGCAUCUGUAGUUCUAGCUAAUUGGGAGGCUGAGGUGGCAGGAUCCCUUGAGCCCAAGAGUUCAAGAGUAUAGUGAGCUAUGAUUGUGCCACUGCACUCCAGCCUGGGCAAUAGAGUGAGACCCUGUUUCUAAAAAACAAAAGCCAUACUAAAAUACUCUGCAAAGACCUCAUAUUCAUUUAUUCACUCAACAAAUGUUUGUUGAGCACCUGUUUUAUGCCAAGUCCAAUACUAGGAGCUCUGGUUGCAACAGAGAGCAAAACAGACACGGCCCUGCCAGUCACCUGGGGCAGGGAAUCCCCCUGCCCCACUCCCUGCAAUAAUCGAUUGUAGAGAAGAAUUAGCAAAUCACAGCUGAGAAGGGUCUGCUGGAAAACACAGCAGAGGCCUUGACUUUGCCUGAUGAAUGGAGGUGGGCUUCCUGGCAGAGGGGCGUCUGUGGGUGAGGGAGGAAGUAGGACUGGCUGGUCAGAGGGGACGGCACACAGGAAGCUGCUGAGCAGGCAGGAGUGUGCUCCGUGGAGGAGCUAGGAGGAGGCCAGUUCUUAGCUGGAGGGUGGAGAAGGAGGGCUAAAGCCAAGCAUGCAGAGGCCGAGGGAUGUGCAGCGCCGGUCAGCCCACGUGAGAUCUUUCCUCCCUCUCCGUGGACUGGGAACCUCCAUAGUUACCACAUGCUGCGCUGACUUCUCUAACACGCUUUGGCCAAUGAUGUUUCCCUAAUCACAGCAGCUCCUCAUUUAGAAUGUGUUCUUAUUUAGGAUGCGUUCGAGUCUCUGUGAUCUGAACUCCACAUGAGGACUCCCUGGGUCCCUCAGGAACCCAUGUCCUACCAGUUAGACUCCCUUGUUUUAGACCCCUUAUUUCAGCAUUUUAUAAACUCUGUCCCGUAGGAUACUGACCCAUUUGCAACUUAGCCAAAAAAAUGAAAGUUAUGUAGCCAAACAAGCUUUGAAAAUACCCCAUUUCUUUCUGGACGUUUCACAAUGCACAGGAGCAUAUUAAAGGCUCUGAUAAGUCCUGCAGCAAAGAACCAAGUGCUUCCCAAAUGCAGUAGUUCAGGGAACCUCUUUGUUCCAUUACUCCCAUGAAGUUUACAAAACUAGUGCUAUGUGGAAAAUGCUUUGUAAAACACGGAUAAUUCUGCAAGUGAUCUGCCUGAGUGUGGAAUGCAGAUAUCCAGCCAGAGUCUGUAACUUCAGACAUGGUGUGGAAGGCCAAUGUGAAAAGCAGGAAUAGUAGAAUGGUUUUAAAAGGGUUCCCUCUAAUUACUCUUGAGUAGGAAAGUAGGAGCCGCCGACACCUGGGAACUGUCCUGGAGCCCCUGGCCGGGCUGGGCCAUUCUCCGGUUUGACAUAAACCAUCUCCCAGAACACCAGCUGCACAGAAGGUCACUCUGAGAUCACAGUAGUGAGACAAAGACAGGUCACGGUGUCACCCACAAACACCAAUUAUCCCCCUUUCCCCACUAAAAUGAAGAAUGGCUGUUUCUUGACCAAUCUCAGCUUUAUGCUGGUGCCCGUCUCCCCUCUCUAGAGGUGACAGUGAUUGAGGCACCCACUCAGAGAAUUGCCCCCUUUCUUUUGGCUUCUGGUCUACUGAGCCCCACUUCCCUAGACCUUCGCCUUCCCACUACCCACCCAAACCCCAAAUCCUACAGGGGCUCUUCCCAGCACCCUCUCACCCCGAAGUUCCUAUGGGGAGCGUCCACCCUCAUUGCAAGGUGGAAGAAACCUGGCUCUUCAACCAAAGGCCCCCAGGGGAGCGUGGCUGGAGGGCACGACACUCUCAAAAAUAUAUAAUUCUCUGAACAAAAUAUACCUCUGUUCCUUUACAAAUGAAGCAUCUGUUGAAAGUGUGUGGAACUUAUUUUGCAAAGAUAUUCCUUGUGAUAAGGCUUGAUUCCAGGUAACUCUUUUCAAAGUGAGUCACAGACCAGGAAGUCGUAUGGAAUGAGUGAUGGAAAGAUGUAUUUUACACGUUGCCCCUCAAGUCCAAACUUGAACUCAUGUCUCUCUGAACCAGAGUGGAGCUUCCUUCCAUUGCAGCCCCAUAUAUGCUGUCAGGGAGCUAGGGGGCCUGGGAGGGUGGCCACCCUGCACACCGUGUGUUACUGGGUGAGGAUUUGCACGUUUGUGGCUGAGGGGAAGACGUUCACGUUGGAUAGUUGUAAUUUCCAAUCCAGGCCCCAACUCUCUAUAACUGAGUGACUGUGGGUGAGUUUCUCCACGUUCCUGAACCUCAAUUUUCUCAUCUAUGAAGUGGGGAUGCCACUACAAAUCAGGUAGCACCUACAAAUCAGGUUUAAGGAUUUGAGUAGAUAACAUAUGUAAAGUGUUUAGCCAGUACCCUGCCAGCAAAUGGUGACCACCACUGUCACUGUUGUCACUGGUAUUAUCUAGUGGUCAAGGUCAGCGCAUCAGCCUUUGGUCAGUGUUCUUUCUCGGUUAGAGGACUUUUUGACCCCGGGUGUCCAUGAGGGUCACCUGGGGAACCUAAAAACAAUGGACUCCUGGGCUGGCCCCAAGUUUAGGGAGGAACUGGUCCUGG